GUCGAACGCGAAAGGGGGGCAACCCCUGAGUAGAGUGGCGAACGGGUGAGUAAUACAUCGGAACGUGUCCAGUAGCGGGGGAUAACCUCUCGAAAGAGAGGCUAAUACCGCAUACGACCUACGGGUGAAAGAGGGGGAUCGCAAGACCUCUCACUAUUGGAGCGGCCGAUGUCGGAUUAGCUGGCUGGUGGGGUAACGGCCCACCAAGGCGACGAUCCGUAGCUGGUCUGAGAGGACGACCAGCCACACUGGAACUGAGACACGGUCCAGACUCCUACGGGAGGCAGCAGUGGGGAAUUUUGGACAAUGGGCGAAAGCCUGAUCCAGCCAUGCCGCGUGAGUGUAGAAGGCCCUCGGGUUGUAAAGCUCUUUCGGCGGGGACGAAAAGGUCCGUGCGAACACCACGGAUCCAUGACGGUACCCGCAGAAGAAGCACCGGCUGACUACGUGCCAGCAGCCGCGGUAAUACGUAGGGUGCAGGCGCUAAUCGGAAUUACUGGGCGUAAAGCGUGCGCAGGCGGUCUAUUAAGACAGGUGUGAAAUCCCCGGGCUUAACCUGGGAACUGCGCUUGUAACUGAUAGGCUGGAGUGUGGCAGAGGGGGGUGGAAUUCCACGUGUAGCAGUGAAAUGCGUAGAGAUGUGGAGGAACACCGAUGGCGAAGGCAGCCCCCUGGGCUAACACUGACGCUCAUGCACGAAAGCGUGGGGAGCAAACAGGAUUAGAUACCCUGGUAGUCCACGCCCUAAACUAUGUCAACUGGUUGUCGGGGAAGCAAUUCCUUGGUAACGAAGCUAACGCGUGAAGUUGACCGCCUGGGGAGUACGGCCGCAGGUUAAAACUCAAGGAAUUGACGGGGACCCGCACAAGCGGUGGAUUAUGUGGAUUAAUUCGAUGCAACGCGAAAACCUUACCUACCCUUGACAUGCCAGGAACCCUCCAGAGAUGGAGGGUGCCCGAAAGGGAGCCUG
rnacentral:rRNA from 1 species